rnacentral:lncRNA from 1 species
CGGCACCUGCAGAACUGCCUGUGCAUGGACAUCCUAUACUACCUCACUCCUGAGGGGUGAUGCUUCUGCAGGGCCUAUGAUCUGGUGCACAACUUUAGACACCAUCAUCCUGGAGCAGCUCUGCACCCUCACUAGCCAGAGUUUUGACAUCCUCAAGGCCAAGGCCACAUUCAAGACUUUGGACUUCAUUGAUGCACUUGUGCUGAGCAAGCUUAUCUGAUCUCCUGGGAUCUCUAAGAUGCUGGCAGCCUGGCCAGCUGGUCUGGCCCUGGACAUGCCUUCAGGGGCUGGUUAUGCUUCAUAACCUGUGUUGCGAUCCUGGUCAGAGUAAAACAUUCCAUGGGAACUCGGGCUGUGAGAACCAUCUUAACCAACUGACUGCAAAAACAUCCUUAUCACAUCCUGCUGGGCAAAGGCCCAACAGCCUGACUGCAGGAACAUCCUUAUCAUCUUCUACUGCGCAGCAAGCUGUACUGCCCAGAGCCCUCCCUCCCAGCCCCAUGAUUACCCCAGCCUGUGAGCGGCAGUGGGCGCUGACACUAAGCUGGUUUCCCCCUCCGCAGGGUUUUGCUAGUAGUAAGCCUGUGUUGCUGUUGAU